GACUCCCAGUGAUCGCUGGUAUUAUGGCUCGAAACCGCUUCCAGGACAUCAUGCGGCACCUGCGCUUCGAUGACAAGGACACACGCAGUGAACGAGUCGCAAAUGACCGGUUUGCUGCAGUCUCUGACAUUUGGGGGUCUUUUGUUA